GGAACUGACUAUGAUUUUGACUGAGUGCUGUCAACCAAUCUAUUGCUGCUAAGCUAUCCCUCGCUGCUAAGCUAUCGCCGCUGCCAAUCUAUCCCUCACUGCUAAGCUAUUCCUCGCUGCUAAGCUAUCCCUCGCUGCUAAGCUAUCCCUCGCUGCUAAGCUAUCCCUCGCUGCUAAGCUAUCCCUCGCUGCUAAGCUAUCCCUCGCUGCUAAGCUAUCCCUCGCUGCUAAGCUAUCCCUCGCUGCUAAUCUAUCGCUGCCAAUCUAUCUACCGCAGCGAAUCUAUCUAUUGCUGUCAACCAAUCUAUCUACCACUGUCAACCAACCUACCAC
rnacentral:sRNA from 1 species